AUGAUCUUACAUGAGAAAAUGAGAAUAAAUAACGACCGUUCUGCUAUCAUGAUGGGGUCGCUAAAGAAAGGUAGGCACAAGGUUGUUGAUUUUACUGAUGAUUCACCGGUUCAAAACUACUGCCGAUAUGUUACAGAAAACCUCCAUGUGACCGAUAUGGAUAGUUUCCAAUUAGUUCUUCACACUCUCCCUGAUUUUAGGCACCUUCACCCUGCAGUUCAGACCGAGGCAGAUAAUAAUAUGGAAGCCCUCCAUGCCAUAAUUGGGACGAAGCAUCCUCAAUACUUUGGAAUCAAGGCCCCCCAUCUAGAGCAAAUCAUCAUAUGGUGAACACCCUCAUUGAGGAGCAUCUGUACCCAUACAAUCCAAAUGCAUCACCAGCUAGAGAAUCUGUAGGGUCGAACCAAAGCUAGGAUACUUAUGUUGAAUUUAGGGGGUGUGGGACACCUUGCUUGGCACAUUGCAAUGAUCUACUGCUAUCAUCAUAGAUUUGUAAGUUCUGUUGUACUUAUAUCCCUACAGGAUCUUGCUAAUGUAUUUUUUAUCCAUUUAAUUUCAGAAUGUAAUCUCAGUCCUUGGUACUGGGUGUUUAAUUAAUGUAGCUAAUUAGCUAUUCGUGAGCUUUGGUACUUCUGGUGCAGUAUAGAUUUCAGAAUGUAAUCUCAGUCCUUGGUACUUAACAUUCCUUUGCCUUGGUACUCUUGUGAUUUACAGAACUGUCUUUCAGCUAGUGCCUUAGUGUAUGUUUUGAUGUCAAUUAAGUGCAAUGCGAACACACUUUUAUCUCAA